GAAGAGUGGGAUGAGGAAAGCCAAACAAGAGAGGGUGAGGAUUAUCCAUCUGAUGUUGGUGGUGGUGAUUCUGAUGAUAAUUUGCAGAGUCCAUUAAUCUCACGUCAGACUACAAGCAUGGACAAAGACUUGGUGCCACCUGCCCAUGGAAGCCUUUCAAGCAUGAGGCAUGGCAGUUUGAUGCAAGGAAACGCUGGAGAGCCAGUUGGCACUGGGAUUGGUGGUGGUUGGCAAUUAGCAUGGAAAUGGUCUGAGAGAGAAGGCCAAGAUGGAAAAAAAGGAGGAGGUUUUAAAAGAAUUUAUUUGCAUCAAGAGGGCGUCCCUGGUUUUCAGCGUGGAUCUCUGGUUUCUAUGCAUGGUGGUGAUGCCCCUGCAGAGGGUGAACUCAUCCAGGCUGCUGCAUUGGUUAGCCAACCAGCUCUUUACUCCAAGGAGCUUGCAAAUCAUCAUCCAAUUGGACCAGCUAUGGUUCACCCUUCUGAAACUAUUGCUAAAGGGCCUAGUUGGGUGGACCUCUUUGAGCCUGGAGUCAAGCAUGCAUUGGCUGUUGGGGUUGGAAUUCAAAUACUUCAGCAGUUCUCUGGCAUAAAUGGGGUUCUGUACUACACUCCCCAAAUUCUUGAGCGGGCAGGUGUGGGUGUUCUUCUUUCAAACAUGGGAAUUAGUUCAGCUUCUGCAUCUCUGCUUACUAGCGCAAUUACAACAUUGUUAAUGCUUCCUUGUAUAGCUGUAGCCAUGAGGCUCAUGGAUAUCUCUGGAAGAAGGACUUUGUUACUUAGCACAAUUCCUGUCUUGAUAGUCUCUCUCCUUGUCCUAGUCAUUGGAAGCGCAGUGAAUCUAGACAGUGUUGUAAAUGCAUCUAUCUCCACUGCUGGUGUUAUAAUCUACUUUUGUUGCUUUGUCAUGGGAUUUGGGCCGAUUCCUAACAUACUCUGUGCAGAAAUCUUCCCCACUCGUGUUCGUGGCCUCUGCAUUGCUAUAUGUGCACUCGCAUUUUGGAUUGGUGACAUUAUUGUUACCUACACACUUCCAGUUAUGCUCAAAUCUAUUGGUCUUGCUGGUGUUUUUGGGUUGUAUGCAGUCGUGUGCAUCAUAUCAUUAGUAUUUGUGUUCUUGAAAGUUCCAGAAACCAAGGGCAUGCCCCUUGAAGUAAUAACUGAGUUCUUCUCUGUCGGUGCGAAGCAGGCUGCAGCUGCCAAGAACAAUUGAGUGAGAAGUUUUGACUUCUUUUUAUUUUUAAUUUGUUUCAUUUGUGUUCUCUUUUAGGUGUGGGAAACAAUAAUAUACACAUUUUCUUUCUGCAAAAAUA
rnacentral:misc_RNA from 1 species